GUCCUGGCCCUAAACGGUGCGUACUUGCUGUAAGCGGAUUCGACCCCGCUUGUGGCGAAGUUAACACGAUAAGUACGCCGCCUGGGAAGUACGGUCGCAAGAUUAAAACUCAAAGAAAUUGACGGGGCCUGCACAAGCGGUGGAGUAUGUGGCUUAAUUCGAUGCAACGCGAAGAACCUUACCUGGUCUUGACAUGCACGUAGUAGAAGCUUGAAAGAGUAACGAGGUAGCAAUACCAGCGUGCACAGGUGCUGCAUGGCUGUCGU
rnacentral:rRNA from 1 species